rnacentral:rRNA from 1 species
UACGAAGGGGGCUAGCGUUGCUCGGAAUCACUGGGCGUAAAGCGCACGUAGGCGGGCUCUUAAGUCGGUGGUGAAAUCCUGGAGCUCAACUCCAGAACUGCCUCCGAUACUGAGAGUCUUCGAGUCUGGGAGAGGUGAGUGGAACUGCGAGUGUAGAGGUGAAAUUCGUAGAUAUUCGCAAGAACACCAGUGGCGAAGGCGGCUCACUGGCCCGGUACUGACGCUGAGGUGCGAAAGCGUGGGGAGCAAACAGG